rfam:Danio rerio chromosome 11, GRCz11 reference primary assembly.
GCCGGGUUCAGUGGCGCGCGCCUGUAAUCCAAGCUGCUAGGAGGCUGAGUCUGCGGAUUGCUUGAGCUCAGGGCCUCUGGGCUGCAGUGAACUAUGUUGAUCGGGUGUCUGCACUAAGUUCGGUAUCAAUAUGGUGUUCCUAGGGGAGCUUGGGACCACCAGGUCGUCUAAGGAGGGGUGAACCGGCCCAGGCUGGGGACAGAGCAGGUCAAAACCCCCGUGCUGAUCAGUAGUGGGAGCGCGCCUGUGAAUAGACACUGCAGUGCAGCCUGAGCAACACAGAGAGAUGCAGACUUUU